GGAAUAGCUCAGUGGUAGAGUGCCUGCUUAGCAUGCAUCAAGGUCCUGGGUUCAAUCCCCAGUGCCUCCA
rnacentral:tRNA from 1 species